AACGAACGCUGGCGGCGUGCCUAAGACAUGCAAGUCGUGCGAGAAAAGGGCUUCGGCCCCCAGUAAAGCGGCGCACGGGUGAGUAACGCGUGGGUAACCUACCUCGAAGUCUGGAAUAACCCGGGGAAACCUGAGCUAAUACCGGAUGAGCCCACGAGACCCUCGGGUCAUGUGGGAAAAGAUGGCCUCUGCUUGCAAGCUAUCGCUACGAGAUGAGCCCGCGUCCCAUUAGCUAGUUGGUGAGGUAACGGCUCACCAAGGCGACGAUGGGUAGCUGGUCUGAGAGGACGAUCAGCCACACUGGAACUGAGACACGGUCCAGACUCCUACGGGAGGCAG
rnacentral:rRNA from 1 species